GAUGAAGAACGUAGCGAAAUGCGAUAAGUAAUGUGAAUUGCAGAAUUCAGUGAAUCAUCGAAUCUUUGAACGCACAUUGCGCCCUCUGGUAUUCCGGGGGGCAUGCCUGUUCGAACGUCAUUACAACCCUCAAGCUUUGCUUGGUAUUGGACAUUGCCAGUUUCUGGCAGGUCUUAAAAUCAGUGGCGGUGCCAUUUGGCUUCAAGCGUAGUAAUUCUUCUCGCUUUGGAGAUCCAAGUGGUUACUUGCCAAUAACCCCCAAUUUUUUCAGGUUGACCUCGGAUCAGGUAGGGAUACCCGCUGAACUUAAGCAUAUCAAUAAGCGGAGGA
rnacentral:misc_RNA from 1 species